CAGGACUCCAGGCUCUGCUGGAGGGAUCCUGGAACAGGGCUGGUAGGGGAGAAAGGAUUGUAGAUUCUGACCUGCGCUCUGGAGAGGAGGUAAUAAGUGAAGGGGGCAUU